rnacentral:sRNA from 1 species
UCAUUUCAUGUACUUCUUCCUCUGUCACACAAUGUCAUUCCUUUUGUGCUGAGAUUGCCUGAAACUUGUGAUGUGGAGUCUUUUUUGUUUUUAUGUGUGGAAGUAGCCCAAAGUGCAAUGGAUUUCAUUUCUUGUCAGUCAGCAGUGCUGGAUUUUUUGUUACGUUAACAUGUAUUAUUAUUUUGUGCUCUCUUGACACCUGUUGAAUAAUGGUAUCUAUUUGUACUACACACUAAGAGGAGAAAAAUGAUUUGUGAAGUAAAAAAAUAUAUAUAGAAUAACGCAACACUUUACUUAUCAUGUAUUGUUAUAACAAAUGUAUCUUUUUUUGUCAAAUAUGUCUGAAUAAUGUUCAUAUAUCUUGAUUGGGUAUUGAUGAUUAAUCAAAUUAUUUUAGAAAGUAAACAAAAAAUUAACUAAUUUAUACACUCAUAUUGAAUACAGCAACUGUCUUCCAUAAAACAAAACCUGUUAUUUCUUUCUUUACCAUAUUGAUUUGGAGAUCAAUUUGUAUUGUGACUUUCAAUUGUACAACAUUCUGUUGAAUGCGGACUUCAUCAUCUGUAUAUUUGAAUUUUAGCCAUUUUCAUCUUUUUUUCUUAUGAAACUUAUUAAAAUGAUCAAAUAUUUUUGUACUGAGUAGAAAGUAGAGAGCACAAUGAUGCUAAUUACUUCUAGGAAGAUGACAUUUUCAUUCUUUAGAUUGCAAUUUCAGAAGUUUCCUUAGAAGAGAGUUUUUCUACCCACAACUUUGUGUUUUGAUUUUUUUUUUUAAGGCCAGUUUUGCUGAAGUGCAAAUUGGACUAUCAGAAGCAUUCCAGAUUAUUUUAAAAUUAUUUUGAAUUUUUUUUCUAUUUUGCAUAAUUUAUCAUUGGUUGUGAUAUUUCAAAUUAAGAUGUAUGGUGUACAAUAAAUACAAUUUGCAUGU